rnacentral:rRNA from 1 species
UAGGGCUAAAGACCUUCUAAGCAGUUAUACGCCUACGAACAUGCGAAAUCCUAUUUUAAACGAAAGUAGCCCUACCACAAUAUAUCCGACCCCACGAAAGUUGAGAAACAAACUGGGAUUAGAUACCCCACUAUGCUCAACCAUAAACCAAGAUAUUAAUUACUAAUAUAUCCGCCCGGGUACUACAAGCACAGCUUAAAACCCAAAGGACUUGGCGGUGCUUCAGAUCCACCUAGAGGAGCCUGUUCUAGAACCGAUAAUCCCCGUUAAACCUCACCACCUCUUGUUAAUACCGCCUAUAUACCGCCGUCGUCAGCUUACCCUAUGAGGGUAAAAUAGUAAGCAAAAAGGACACACUCCAAAACGUCAGGUCGAGGUGUAGCGUACGAAGUGGGAAGAAAUGGGCUACAUUUUCUAUUACAGAAUAUUACGAAUAGCACUAUGAAAUAUUACGCCUGAAGGAGGAUUUAGUAGUAAAAAGAAAAUAGAGAGUUCUUUUGAAUUAGGCUCUGAAGCGCGCACACACCGCCCGUCACUC